rnacentral:misc_RNA from 1 species
AAAAUGCGAUAAGUAAUGUGAAUUGCAGAAUCUAGUGAAUCAUUGAAUCUUUGAACGCACAUUGCACUUGGGUUACCGCCCAAGUGUGCCUGUCCGAGCGUCAUUACAAUCAAACAGCUUGCUGCUGAAGAUGGGGUGCGUCCCUUGCUGGGACGUCCCUACAAGCCAUCGUCCGGAAGGCUAGCCAUGAAAGGCUUGCAUCGUAGAAACAUUGCAUGCCCCAGUGGUCGACCCUUGGGACUGACCAUCCUCUUGAUUGACCUCGGAUCAGGUAGGGAUACCCGCUGAACUUAA